rnacentral:rRNA from 1 species
UACGAGGGGGGCGAGCGUUGUUCGGAAUUAUUGGGCGUAAAGGGUGCGUAGGCGGUUUGGUAAGUCUGAUGUGAAAUCUAUGGGCUCAACUCAUAGUCUGCAUCGGAAACUGCCGGGCUUGAGUGUGGGAGAGGUGAGUGGAAUUCCUGGUGUAGCGGUGAAAUGCGUAGAUAUCAGGAGGAACACCUGUGGCGAAAGCGGCUCACUGGACCAUAACUGACGCUGGGGAGCGAAAGCGUGGGGAGCAAACAGG